UACGUAGGGCGCGAGCGUUGUCCGGAUUUAUUGGGCGUAAAGAGCUCGUAGGCGGCUCGUUGCGUCGGCUGUGAAAACCCGCAGCUCAACUGUGGGCUUGCAGCCGAUACGGGCGGGCUAGAGUUCGGUAGGGGAGACUGGAAUUCCUGGUGUAGCGGUGAAAUGCGCAGAUAUCAGGAGGAACACCGGUGGCGAAGGCGGGUCUCUGGGCCGAUAUUGACGCUGAGGAGCGAAAGCGUGGGGAGCGAACAGG
rnacentral:rRNA from 1 species